rnacentral:rRNA from 1 species
GACGAACGCUGGCGGCGUGCUUAACACAUGCAAGUCGAGCGGUAAGGCCCUUUCGGGGGUACACGAGCGGCGAACGGGUGAGUAACACGUGGGUGACCUGCCCUCAGCUCUGGGAUAAGCCUGGGAAACUGGGUCUAAUACUGGAUAUGACUCCACGGUGCAUGUCGUGGGGUGGAAAGCCUUGUGCGGCUGAGGAUGGGCCCGCGGCCUAUCAGCUUGUUGGUGGGGUGAGGCCUACCAAGGCGACGACGGGUAGCCGGCCUGAGAGGGCGACCGGCCACACUGGGACUGAGACACGGCCCAGACUCCUACGGGAGGCAGCAGUGGGGAAUCUUGCGCAAUGGGCGAAAGCCUGACGCAGCAACGCCGCGUGGGGACG